ACGAACGCUGGCGGCAUGCCUAACACAUGCAAGUCGCACGAGACCUUCGGGUCUAGUGGCGCACGGGUGCGUCACGCGUGGGAAUCUGCCCUUGGGUUCGGAAUAACAGUUGGAAACGACUGCUAAUACCGGAUGAUGACGUAAGUCCAAAGAUUUAUCGCCCAAGGAUGAGCCCGCGUAGGAUUAGCUAGUUGGUGAGGUAAAGGCUCACCAAGGCGACGAUCCUUAGCUGGUCUGAGAGGAUGAUCAGCCACACUGGGACUGAGACACGGCCCAGACUCCUACGGGAGGCAGCAGUGGGGAAUAUUGGACAAUGGGCGAAAGCCUGAUCCAGCAAUGCCGCGUGAGUGAUGAAGGCCUUAGGGUUGUAAAGCUCUUUUACCCGGGAUGAUAAUGACAGUACCGGGAGAAUAAGCUCCGGCUAACUCCGUG
rnacentral:rRNA from 1 species